rnacentral:rRNA from 1 species
GAAUGCUGACAUAAGUAACGAUAAAGCGGGUGAAAAGCCCGCUCGCCGGAAGACCAAGGGUUCCUGUCCAACGUUAAUCGGGGCAGGGUGAGUCGACCCCUAAGGCGAGGCCGAAAGGCGUAGUCGAUGGGAAACGGGUUAAUAUUCCCGUACUUGGUGUUACUGCGAAGGGGGGACGGAGAAGGCUAUGUUGGCCGGGCGACGGUUGUCCCGGUUUAAGCGUGUAGGUGUGUGUUCCAGGUAAAUCCGGUUCACUUUAACACUGAGGCGUGACGACGAGGCACUACGGUGCUGAAGCAACAAAUGCCCUGCUUCCAGGAAAAGCCUCUAAGCAUCAGGUAACACGAAAUCGUACCCCAAACCGACA